rnacentral:rRNA from 1 species
GAUGAACGCUAGCUACAGGCUUAACACAUGCAAGUCGAGGGACCGGCGCACGGGUGAUUAACACGUAUCCGACCUGCCCUUUACUCGGGGAUAGCCUUUCGCAAGAACGAUUAAUACCCGAUAUAAAGGAUGGGGAUGCGUUCCAUUAGGUUGUUGGGUAGGGAACGGCUCACCAAGCCUUCGAUGGAUAGGGGUUCUGAGAGGAAGGUCCCCCACAUUGGAACUGAGACACGGUCCAAACCUGUAGGGGAGGCAGCGGUGAGGAAUAUAGGUCAAGGGGGCCUAGCCUGAACCAGCCAAGUAGCGUGAAGGAUGAAGGCUUAUGGGUCGUAAACUUCUUGUAUAUAAGAAUAUGUAUUAUAUGAAUAAGGAUCGGCUAACUCCGUGCCAGCAGCCGCGGUAAUUC